CGACCGGCGCACGGGUGCGUAACGCGUAUGCAACCUACCUUUAACAGGGGGAGUAACACUGAGAAAUUGGUACUAAUACCCCAUAAUAUCAUAGAAGGCAUCUUUUUAUUGGUUGAAAAUUCCGAUGGUUAGAGAUGGGCAUGCGUUGUAUUAGCUAGUUGGUGGGGUAACGGCUCACCAAGGCGACGAUACAUAGGGGGACUGAGAGGUUAACCCCCCACCACUGGUACUGAGACACGGACCAG
rnacentral:rRNA from 1 species